GUGCCGCCGCCUCCGCCCGCCCCUACGGGAAACGCGCGGCCGAGGUCCCGUGAGGCCGCGGGAAGGAGCGAGGACGCUGCGGACGCGGAGGGGAACCAGCGAAGUGCAGCUCUCCUUGCGACGGCAUCCCUGGAUCCCAUCCCUGGAACGGGGCGAUGCCUGUCACAGUGCUGGGCUCCGGGGAAAUUUUCCCCUGCAGAACUGCCCCCUUCACACGUAAGAUCUGGGGUUUCUGCUGAAUAUUUGAGCGAACAAGCAUCCCACGUGCAUUGGCGAGGCUGGCAGCAAUCCCCCGGCCAUCGUAGUGAAAAAACACCGUGCUGCAGUACUGCCACAGCAUCGCACAGAACCGACAGUGUGUCACAGGCUCAGUGCUCAAAACAAAUUAAAAAGAUACUUGCUGUUU